rnacentral:rRNA from 1 species
ACGAACGCUGGCGGCGUGCUUAACGCAUGCAAGUCGAACGGUAAGGCCCCUUCGGGGGUACACGAGUGGCGAACGGGUGAGUAACACGUGAGCAACCUGCCCUUGACCCUGGAAUAACAGUUGGAAACAGUUGCUAAUACCGGAUACGACCUCUUCCGACAUCUGAAGAGGUGGAAAGCUCCGGCGGUCAAGGAUGGGCUCGCGGCCUAUCAGCUUGUUGGUGAGGUAACGGCUCACCAAGGCUUCGACGGGUAGCCGGCCUGAGAGGGCGACCGGCCACACUGGGACUGAGAUACGGCCCAGACUCCGACGGGAGGCAGCAGUGGGGAAUAUUGCACAAUGGGCGAAAGCCGGAUGCAGCAACGCCGCGUGCGGGAGGACGGCCUUCGGGUUGUAAACCGCGUUCAGUAGGGACGAAGCUAACGUGACGGUACCUACAGAAGAAGGACCGGCCAACUACGU